UCGUUCAAGCACAAGAUGAAU
rnacentral:piRNA from 1 species